rnacentral:tRNA from 1 species
GGCCUCGUAGCUCAGUUGGCUAGAGCGUUGGCUAUACUAAAGCCUUCCCCUUGCUGAUGCGGGUUUGAAUUCCACCGACGCCG